UACGGAGGAUCCGAGCGUUAUCCGGAUUUAUUGGGUUUAAAGGGUGCGUAGGCGGCAUGCUAAGUCAGGGGUGAAAGACGGUGGCUCAACCAUCGCAGUGCCUUUGAUACUGGUGUGCUUGAAUGCGGAUGAGGUAGGCGGAAUGUGGCAAGUAGCGGUGAAAUGCAUAGAUAUGCCACAGAACACCGAUUGCGAAGGCAGCUUACCAAGGCGUAAUUGACGCUGAUGCACGAGAGCGUGGGGAUCGAAC
rnacentral:rRNA from 1 species